ACUAUGCAAAGGGGCUACUCCUCACACACACAUGUGUAUGCACACAGAAAGAGGGAGAAAGAGACACUGCUCUUAGAUCAGAGAGAUCCAUCUCUCUGAUCUGGUCAGGAACUCUUCUUUAUUCUAUCGCCCAAACCCGUAUGUUCAAAUCCAUUAUUACUGCACCUCUGUCCUGGAAGUUUCAUUGACGAUCAUAGAAUUUUAGAACUGGAAAAGACUUCAGGAAUCCUCUGGUAAAAACUUCUCAUUUUAUAGAUGAGGAAAUGGAGGCCCAAAGAAAUAGAAUAACUUGGCCCACGGCAAUCAAAGGAGAGUUACCACAUCUAGUCUGAAAAACAGAGAGGAGAAUCAGAGGAAGAAUACGGCCUGGGUUCCCAACAGUUUCCUACUCCUGGUUCCAACCCAUCCUGCAAGCCACUUAAAUUUCUGCCCUUUGUUCUGUAACAACCCUCUUAAAAGAAAUUCUCCCUUUUGCUGAUAAGGUAGCAAAAUAUGACUCGACUGGAUUCAAAUCCUGUGUGUCCUGGGCAGUUUCUAAACUUCUCUGUGUUGGUGUUCUUUUCUGCUAAAAUGAGAAAUACUAGUAUAGAGUUGUCAUGAGUGUUAAAUUUGACAAGGCAUUUAAAGUAUUCAGCACAGUGCCUGGCAUUCAUUCAAAAAAAAAAAAAC
ensembl:lncRNA